AACAACAACAACAACAAACAAAAACAACAACAACAAAAAAAACAGAGAGCCCAAAGAGAAGAAAUAAAGAUGCUGUCAGAGAUGGAACAUAGUGGCAGUAAAAGAAAGGACAACCAGUAGACAGGAAAGAAAAAAAACUCCAAGACCCGGAGUUUCUGUCCAUGUCCAAUGCAUUCAAGAUUCUUCUGCAAAUCUGAACAGUCAAAGCCUGAAGUACAUGGAGGAAAGAAGAAAUCCAUUUGAAUGGAAGAAGCAUUCCAAGUGACAGAAUGUAUCAGAACAUUUAAAGACGAAAGAAGGACAUCAUUUUGAAUCAUGAGGCCUACUGGAAAAAUAAACAACAAAAAACAAGCAAGCAAAAUACAGUGGAGAGAGCUGAUAGAGCAGUAGAAAGUCUCCUGGAAUAUCCCCACAGGCUGCUGGUGUCUGAUCCUAGAAAGAAAAGUUCAGAGAAUGAGAACCCCUGGACUGUCUCAAAAAAAAGAAAAAAGAAAAAAACAGAAACGCGACAUGCUCUAAAAAGGAAUAUUUAACCUGGAUUAAUUCAUAAAAUAAUAGGAGAAAAUUUUUGCAGCCAGAAUACUAUGAAUUUGAGUUGGUUGAAGAACAACCUCAUCUUUUAAAGCAGAGAAGUUUUCUCAGAUAUGUUUUCCAGAAUGCCAAAUCGUAAGUAAAUUGAUGAGAAAACUGUGGCUCAAAAGUUAUGUUACUUGUUAGACAUCACCAGACAUUUAAGUGGUAAGCACAAGAUGUGAACACAACUCUUCUCUAUUAAACCUAUUAGACCUGCACAGCCCAAUAUGACAGCCACUAACCACAAGUGGCUGCACACACUUGAUAUAUGACUAGUUUGA
rnacentral:lncRNA from 1 species